ACAAACAAUGAAGAUUCAUCUUCUUCCAGCAUGAAUACUGAACUAGAGACCUCAGCAACGAAGUCUGGACCCAAGUUGGGGAGCGCCUUGACCAUAGUAGCAGCAGCUGUUGCUGGGAGAAAACCCACAUCCACAACACAGCUGCAGAAGCUCGCAUACGACUACAAGGAGCUUUAAUCCGAAGCUAUGCAUUUGACAGCCUCUUCACCUUAUGUAAGUCAAUCAGAGCAUCCGAGUACCUGGAACAGUUUGGUAGCAUCUUUACCCAGCCUCCCAAGAAAAAAUCGAAGCCACUGAAAGGAGAGAGGAGUCCAGAGGCAGCUGGUAUUGCUAUGGAGCCUUGGCAAGCAUCUCUUCCUCCUCUGCAUGCUGCAGGACCCAGUAAAAUAACAUCACAGGCACAGACCCUCCACCUUUCUGCAGUUAGCCUUCAUCAGACCACCGGUUCCCCAAGUGCCACCUCUAUGACCAGCCGCUUCCGUAGAUGCCAGCUACAACUACAUAGGAGCGGUCACUCCUGCCUUAGAUGUUUUAGCUUUGGUUCCUGAUAUUGGAGUUUCAGCUCUGUCUCCAAACUCUCUUCCUGAAAAAGACUUAUUGAAGUAGGAAGCUAUGUACAAAUUUAUUAUAUUCAAACAAUCUCUCUCUG